rnacentral:rRNA from 1 species
ACACGAGUGGCGAACGGGUGCGUAACGCGUAUGCAACCUACCUUUAACAGGGAGAUAGCUCAGAGAAAUUUGAAUUAAUAUCCCAUAACAUUGAGAUAUCGCAUGAUAUUUCACUUAAAGCUCCGGCGGUUAGAGAUGGGCAUGCGUGACAUUAGCUAGUUGGUAAGGUAACGGCUUACCAAGGCUACGAUGUCUAGGGGUUCUGAGAGGAUUAUCCCCCACACUGGUACUGAGACACGGACCAGACUCC